GGCUUGGCAGCAAGCAUCCUGGGCACGGAGCCAUCUCACCAGACCAUGUGUAGACAGUUCUGGCUGUCAGAACUCUGAGAACUACCAACCUGUUCAAGGAUGCCACCUAAUGUGGCUUGGAACACAGCACUAUCCUCUGCCCCCAGCAGACACUCAGUAUGAAUCAACAAUGCCAAUGCUGACACAAACGGAAAGAUUUGAGAGGUGACUUGACCUUCUGCUUACCUCUGGCAUCUUAUUGUGAAGGUGAACUCAGUGGUAUUCUUCAGAAGGUGGUGGAUAUCGUCGUCGUCGUCAUCGUCAUCAUCAUCAUCAUCACACAUGUCUGUGCAGGUGUCUGAAGUGGCCAGAAGAGGGCACUGGAUCCCUUGGAGUGGAGUUGUGAGGUGCAGGAUGAGCAUGCAUGGACCCAAACUCAGAUCUUCCAGAGCAGCCUCACUCACUCUUCAACCCCUGAAAUAACGUUUAUUUCUCUCUCUCUCCUCAUCUCUGUACCUGUUCAUUAUUGUCAUAUUAAGGAAGAGAGAGAGAGAGAGAGAGAGAGAGAGAGAGAGAGAGAGAGAGAGAGAGAGAGAGAGAGAGAAAUCUCUUUGGUGCAGAUUGAACAAGAAUCUGCCCAAAUUUGAAUUGUCCACUUCUCUCUAUCUAUAGUCUGUGAUUAAUUGCUUGUGCCUCUCUAUUGUGUGUAUUUGAUCUGUCUCUACUGUUUUUCUGUUGUGCUGGCACGUUAUUUGUGUUUGACAUGUGCCUGUCCCUAAGAAAGGGCUUUGUCUUGUAUUUAUUGACUAGCAGAGAAAGCAUGAUGUGGGAAAGGAAUAAUUUUUUUAAAAAAUUUAUUUAAAAAUUUA